UGGCACAAGAGCCAUAAAUUAUGAGUAAAACUACUGGCAGUACUCCUGCAGUAGUGAUAUAAUGGCUACAUGUACACAAUGUAGAAUUUGUAAUGGUAUUUUUUUUAGGGGGGGGGCGCUGACACCAAAGUGAUAUGUUAACUUUUAAUUAGCACUGAGAGAAAAGCAGAGGGGGGAGAGAGAGAGAGACUUUUAUUUUUUUUAUUUCUCGAUGCAAUAGAAGUAGUUUCAAAAGUUAUGAACGUUUUAGGCGAUUUAUUUUCAUCCAUGCUGCGAGAUUAAGAGGGUAGUCCCGGUUUUGUUUUGUUUCUUUCUAAUCUUAAACACGUUAGAUUGCAUUCAUGGUACUGCAUCUGAUAAAUGGAUUGUUAUACACUUUAUAAAUUAUGUCUGGAUUAAGAUGGGUUGGACGGUAUCAACAAUUGCAUCCGAGUUACAGUAUUCAUUUGGAUGCAAAUCCGUUGAUGAAGAUGCAGUUCAUAAAUCAUUAAAGCUGAACUAAUUGACAGCGAGAUAACAUCAUUCAGCAACCUACUUUGGAUUUCAAAGCGUGUGGAUCAUAUUAUAAUUGUGAACUCUGUCGAUCCCUUGCGAGAAAGAUGUGGAAUUCCAAGUCCAUUCCUGAAUUAUUAAGUACGCUUCAAGUAGUUGUUGGUCUUUUGAUUGUGUGAGCCCACAACGUCAUAUAAAGUGGUGUUAAACUUGGAGAUGGAAUUCUUUUGACCGUCGCGUCGUACUUCCAACGGCACUUCCAGAUCACUUUUACAGAUGCACCUAGCUGGGGCAAGGGGUGGUGUCAGAUGGGCAGAUUUAACCUGAAUAUUUGAAGAUUAGUGGAGAUUGGGAUAGCUGAAGCUAGCGACGGUAACACGUAUCCUCCUUCACAACCAUCUGAUUUUCUAUCAUCUUGGACCGCGUUGAUGUUAGGAAACGUCAUAGAGCAUUGGAGCAUGAGCAGUAUUAAGAGCAUUAUAGUCCGACGACGUCAGCAGACGGCGAGUCAAAAAUCGAGAUGCUAAAUACACAUGAUUAAUAAUUAGUCAGCUUCAAGUUUGAAAUAUCGACGCAGAGUAGUUAUAUUGACUCAUUGACCGCAAAAACCUACGUGUGAACCUCUCAUGCUCCAAGCAAAAGAAAGUCUGAUGGAAGAAUAGAGUUUAAGUACAGACUGAUGAAGGCCGUUUAUUUACUGCCUCGGCGAAGCAAGCAGAAAUGCAAAUCAUGCGAGUCAAUAUAUCCAUCAAACACGGGGGUCCUCAAACACCACCCAGCGUCCAUUGCCCUUCAACAUCAAAGUUGCUGCUCCAAAUGACAGAUAAUACGGAUGAUCAAAAUCAAGAAUUCAACCAGAAACUGCAACAUGUCAUUGACAAGGUUAAUCCAUCCAUCCAUUAUCCGAACCUCUUAUAAAAAAAAUAAAAUAUAUUAUUAUUCUACAAAGUGAAUAGCCACAUUGGCAGUCAGGGGAGGAUAUAGUGACAAACUGUCUUAGGUUGCUCUGAAUGCAAAUGCCAGCUCACUGGGAACUCGUAGUGCAUGAACAAGAACACGGGGCAAAGAGAGGGCACUUGAGGGCUGCUAGCAAAAGGAGGAAGCGCAGAAAUCGGUGGUGCAGAACAGGUAUUGUCAUGACAGGAGAAGCCCCAUGGCUGAUGUGAAUUCACUCUAUUAAUCCACUAUAAUAAAAAAAUGCCUUGGGAAUAACCUGGCCACCAGUGAGACACCCACUAACCUUCCCAUUUAAUUAAGCACACAUACUCUGUUAUCUUGUUUCUAAUUUGACUCGCGGAUUUAAACUAAAUAACUUGUUUUGACUAUUGACUCAGGAGCACGAUAAAGGCUUGAACAGAAUCAAAGAUUUAUUAUUCGUCAGUGUCAAAGUCUGACUCAACAGAAGAACGCUGUACUGGUAAAGUGUUCUAUGAUUGGAGUUAGGCAGACAAAAGUGGAAGUAAACAAGUCUGGAUAUGUUGAUGAUGACCGAUACGAAAUUAGAUUGUUUGGAAGGCCUUACAUUAUUAGCUUAUUUUCUGCACUGUAAAGUUUAAAACUGUUUUCAUAUAUAGGGCGCAUCGCAUUAUAAGGCGCAUGGAAUAGAAGCUGCAAUUUAUGGGGGGCUGCGUUUAUGUUUUACAUCCACUAGAUAGAGCUACACUAAAGGGAAUACAAUACAAUACAAAAUAGCUUUAUUUAAAUAGAGCCUUCACAACCGCUGCAGCUGUAACACAGCGCUUUAUUGAACAUUUAAAAUACUAUGUCUAAGAAGUCAGAAUAUUGGGCCACAUAUAAGGCACAUCAGAUCAUAAGGUGCAUUGUCGGCGUUUGAGAAAAUUAAAUGCUUUUAUGUUUUUCUUAUAGUGCGGAAAAUACGGUACUUAUAUCUCGUUUCUCAGUUUGGUCGCUUCCACGCAGUUUCUGAUGGAUGCACAAUCAGACGAAUCAAGUCAGGUUGGGCAGUGGGUGCAAGAGUAGCGCCACCUCAACUUUGUGUCGAAGACAUCUUCUGAAUGCAGCACAGAAGUGUGGGGGUCAUAUACGUGUCACACACAUACUUGUAUUCGGUGCAAAAACAUGGACGCUCACCGAUGCCGCAAGUAUCACAGCCUCAUUGUCAAGUCAAGGUCAGUAGCCGCAUCAGUCACGCUGCCCGCGUCGCUGGUCAGCCAACAAAUCAGACAAAGUUUAUUCAAUGCAGAACACGGUCACCCUGAGACCACAAAUGAUAUUGCGAGCGUUAUAUAUUUUUUUCUUGAAAUUGAACUUUAAUUUAAGGCAAUUCAUGACAAAGCAUUUCACAACCAACCAUUUGACAAUAAUCAUGUACAAUAAAGGAAAGCAGAGUGUCAUGCAAGAACAAAACAAAACAAACAAACAAAAAAGAGAAAUAAAUGCUGUAUAAACAACAAAGAUCAAUCGUGGCAGUUGAAAAUAAAUCAACUGUAACAUGCUAAUUACAUGCUACAAUUUAGUGUUUUGGACCAGCGGUGAGAGGAGAAAUGCAAGGA